rnacentral:rRNA from 1 species
ACGGGUGAGUAAUACAUCGGAACAUGUCCUGUAGUGGGGGAUAGCCCGGCGAAAGCCGGAUUAAUACCGCAUACGAUCUAUGGAUGGAAGCGGGGGACCUUCGGGCCUCGCGCUAUAGGGUUGGCCGAUGGCUGAUUAGCUAGUUGGUGGGGUAAAGGCCUACCAAGGCGACGAUCAGUAGCUGGUCUGAGAGGACGACCAGCCACACUGGGACUGAGACACGGCCCAGACUCCUACGGGAGGCAGCAGUGGGGAAUUUUGGACAAUGGGCGAAAGCCUGAUCCAGCAAUGCCGCGUGUGUGAAGAAGGCCUUCGGGUUGUAAAGCACUUUUGUCCGGAAAGAAAUCCUUGGCUCUAAUACAGUCGGGGGAUGACGGUACCGGAAGAAUAAGCACCGGCUAACUACGUGCCAGCAGCCGCGGUAAUACGUAGGGUGCAAGCGUUAAUCGGAAUUACUGGGCGUAAAGCGUGCGCAGGCGGUUUGCUAAGACCGAUGUGAAAUCCCCGGGCUCAACCUGGGAACUGCAUUGGUGACUGGCAGGCUAGAGUAUGGCAGAGGGGGGUAGAAUUCCACGU